rnacentral:rRNA from 1 species
AUUCUGUAUGAACCUUGGAAAAUGGCUACAGAAACCUAUUAAAAGCUUAAACCUGCGCUUGGAGAAGAGCCUCAUCUACACUAGAAUAUUUGAAAGAGUUUAUUCAAUUUAAAAAGGACAAAAUGUCUAUCAUAUUUGAUUAUCAGCUUCCUGUCCUUAACCAUUUAACUGUGAGGAACAGGUGCUCACUUGUGAUGAUUCAUAAUAACAGGCAGUCAGUGAAACAGGUGUUUUGUGUGGAUGUUCUGGAAUAUGUAAGAAAUGGGACUGGAUGGAACUAGCCUUAAGAAUAGAAGUCAUGUUUGUAAAUAUUUCAUCACAACAUUGCAAGGCUUGUUCAUUAUUCUCACCCAUCUUCCCAGGAUUAAGCAAGUAAUUCCUUCUCCUCUGACCCCUCUCUGUAAGCUGAAAAGUGCCCAAAAGGGAAGAAAUUGUUGAAAACUGCAGAGAUAAUCCAGAGUUUGACAUAAGUGUGAGACAUUUUUGAAAGCAGAGUAUCAGACACUCUUUAACAAGUGAUAAGACCACUGAAACCAUUUUGUUAAACUAGAAGGUGAUUACAUUGAAGGGGAUUUUUGAUUAACAGGUGUGACUUUAAUUUUACAGAGAAAAAUUCCAGGAAUCUUUUACUCUCCCUUACUCAACACCGGAAAAAUCACCAGGCCCAGACACUGGAAGGAUUGACAGAUUGAGAGCUCUUUCUUGAUUCGGUGGGUGGUGGUGCAUGGCCGUUCUUAGUUGGUGGAGCGAUUUGUCUGGUUAAUUCUGAUAUCGAACGAGACUCUAGCCUGCUAAAUAGUCCCAUCCGGUAUCCUCUGCGCUACCGGCAGCUCUUAAUCUUCUUAGAGGGACAGGUGGCUUCUAGCCACACGAAAUUGUACAGUAACAGGUCUGUGAUGCCCUUAAGAUGUUCUGGGCCGCACGCGCGCUACACUGAAGGAAUCAGCAUGUCCUCCCUGGCCUAAAGGUCCGGGUAACCAGCUGAACCUCCUUCAUGCUAGAGAUUUGGGCUUGCAAUUGUUCUCCAUGAACGAGGAAUUCCCAGUAAGCGCGAGUCAUAAGCUCGCAUUGAUUACGUCCCUGCUCUUUGUACACACUACCCGUCACUACUACCGAUUGAAUGAUUUAGUGAAGUCUUCAGACCGGUGGGCGUGGGGGUCCACCCCUUCAAUUCCACCGGGAAGAUGCGUUAACUUGAUCAUUUAGAGGAAGUAAAAGUUGUAACAAGGUUUCCGUAGGUGAACCUGCGGAAG